GGAUCAGAUGUCAUAUACCAAUAUGAAGAUGAGGGCCUGGUAAUUGAGUGAUCUCCAUAAGACUCCAAAGUAGGAGCCCUCAAAUGGUGAUCCACACGGGACUGAUCAGGAUCCUUCCCAAUUCAACGUAGUGCUGCAGCCAUCUUCGCAAGUUCACUGUCGAUUGUUCUUCACAAGAACAUAUUGCACUACUGCUUGUAUGCCUUUGAAUCCUUCAUUAGAACCACACUAGGAACCUUUCCUUAC
rnacentral:lncRNA from 1 species